AAUUCUAUAGGAUAAAUAAAUCUUUUAGUUUGCAGAACUAAAUAUACUUUUAGUUAGAGUUU
rnacentral:tRNA from 1 species